CCUAUUUUCAAAAAAAAUUCUCUUUUCAUAGAAGAUUUAUUUAUUUUCCUUUUUCCACCGGUUCUAAUAAAUCCUACGAUAUUAAUCAGUGUUGUAUUUACUUUACUGUCAUCAUUCCACAUUGGCUGACAAUAAUACAACCCUGAAGUGGCAUCACCUUUUUUUGGUCCGGAAUGUUGUACUGACCGUCUCCGCCUUAUUUUUGAGACAGUGGCUGAUAACUCGGUUGGUGCGACGAACUGUCGACGGUUUUUUAAAGAAAAUACAAUUAAUUGACCUAUAAAUCACAUGCAACAAUACUUCCCCAUUUUGAUUUCAGUCAAUCAAAAUGGUGAUGUUCGUGACUUAUUUGUCUGUUUUUGUUUUAUAUAAUUUAUAAAUUUGCCUAAAGUGAUGGAAACCCGUGGUAAAAAAAAUUAGGGGGACUUACUGUCGGCCACGCAAUAGAAAGGAAAUGGAAGAAGUCAUUUUCAGAAUAUGAAAUUCAGAUUUUCUUCAAUUUGGAAAACUCGUAUUUGCUCUUUGUAUGUAAAUGCGUAUUUAAUAUAAGGACGGAUUUUCCAAUGGACAUGUUCGGUUUAUUAACAUUUUAUUACCCAUAAGCGUUAGUAUUUUCGGAGCAGUAUUGGUGGUGUAUAAUCUCUUGUUAUGAACACAAAGCGGUUGGCGUGG